GCAAAGGAGAAGGCGGUGGUUGAUCUCAAACCUUCCUCGGCGUUCCCAGCCUCGAAUCAUCCAAGCAAACUUUACCACUCCCGUCACCUCCCCAGACUCCGCAAACAGCCCCUCCAAAAGCAUUAUCUCUGAUCUUUUCCAACACACAACUGUUCUCGGUUCAUUUGGUAGUUCGGGAUUAAAUUCGUGCCUAUAUUCGUCUCAUUUUCAUGUUCAAAUUCUCCAACCACUUAUUAUCGCCGCUACAUCAAGAUCUGUUGCCAAUCACACUGAUUUGAGGCCUUCGGCCCCUCAAACUCCCUCCUCUCAACACAACCACUACAUUGCAAAACGCGAGAGGCAUGGGGAUACCCGCGGCACCGGGCGAAGGCGAUGGAUAUUAUUCUUAGAAAAUAUCUCUCCGUCUGUGAUUGGAGAUCAUGACCAAACCACCAUCAUCGGCUGAUCGCAUUCAACCCCUGAUCUUUCAGCCACGCAACGGAUUCAGGUCUCCGUAUUUCGAGCUUGAACUUGUCUUCCACUGCAAAACUCAUAAAUGAGGAGUUAAUUUCUAAAUUGCUUAAUUAUCAAUUUUUUUUAAGUUGACUUGUGUGUUUCGUUGAGAGGGCGAGAGAAAGGCGCUAAAUGGAGCUGCGACUGGCCUAAAAAACUUCGACUCGACAAUUUCAACUCUCACAUGAAGCCACAGCCGAGUUCAUUCUUUAUUAUUUGAUUCAUUUUUAUCCAAUAAGGUUAAUUGCAUCAAUUUCUGCACAGAAUCGAGUUCAUCCGUUGAAAAAUAAGUUUGUAGCUCCGCAGUUCGUCCCCAAAAAUAACAGCGCAACCACAGAGAAUCAAAAACUAAAGGAUCAGAAUAUGGUUAUCUUUUCUAUUACACGAAGGAGUGUGCGCCGAGGUUCAGAAAUUUCAGAAAUUUCAGUCAAAUAUCGAAAUCGCUUAUCAGCUCUACCAUCGUUGAACUUACUACAGCUUAUCGCACCCAGUCAAACAGACACAUAACAUCCAGUUAACAUUUUUUAUCUUAAUCAAAACAUGGUACAAACCCACCCCAACAAGAACUUCCCAUCUCUCUACCUAGAAAUCCACUGUGGACAAAUCAAUCUAGUACAAUGAUAGCGAACAGAUAGAAUCCCAUCGCGGCGAUGAUGAUGGCUUUGUGCGUUGUCCUCAUCUACAAUACUGAUACUUUUCUCCACCUCUACUACCUCGAUCCAUGCAACCGCAGGUGCGCUGUAAACAUACGCAGUUCUCCUCUUGAAAUUGUAGCAGUAAUAUCGACCGUGGAAAAGGGGGGUUAAUGUGUGUUUUCAAAUUCUGUGUGUGGGAGGUAAAAAUGGGCUUUUAUCGCGAAAAUGCGACAAUAACAAUUUGUGUCGUGCGACCGAGUCGAAA
rnacentral:sRNA from 1 species